rnacentral:tRNA from 1 species
AUGGAUGUAGCUCAGGGGUAGAGUGCUUGCCUAGUAUGUAUGAAUCUCUGGGUUCAAUACCCAGCACCAUA